rnacentral:rRNA from 1 species
UACGUAGGGUGCGAGCGUUGCCCGGAUUUAUUGGGCGUAAAGGGCUCGUAGGCGGUUUGUCGCGUCGGGAGUGAAAACCUCGGGCUUAACUCGGGGCUUGCUUUCGAUACGGGCAGACUGGAGGUAUGCAGGGGAGAACGGAAUUCCUGGUGUAGCGGUGAAAUGCGCAGAUAUCAGGAGGAACACCGGUGGCGAAGGCGGUUCUCUGGGCAUGACCUGACGCUGAGGAGCGAAAGUGUGGGGAGCGAACAGG